UAAUCCACUUGUAUACAUACAACAACAACAACUCUAUAUAAAUAACAUAAGAUCUUUCUUGCUCCUCGGAGUCCUCGCUCAUUCUAAUUAUAACCUCGGAACAAAAAAAAAUGAGACGAUUCGUGGUGGUCGCAUUGAUCAUGAUGGUGGUGGCCUCUUCUUCUUGCUUGGCGGUUGGCCAUCAACUAGGGAGGAAGCUUGUGGUUGAGAACAGUGGCAACAACAAGGAUGAUAACGGCGGCGGGUAUAUGAAUUCACGUACUUAUGAUUUGGGUAAUCACCAUUGCAAACCCUGGCAAGACUUCAGCAACGACAACGGUAAUAACGGUGGCACACCCGAUGGACCUAAAGUUGGGGGUGCAUGCUAAGCUAAUAACACAUAUGAAAAUAAAUGUUUUAGGUUUUAGGGCCAUAUAUUACAUAUGUGUUAUAGUGUUUUAUUUUUAUAUAGUUUAUGCUGCACGUACGCUACAAAAUUAACAAGUUUAAUUACUGCAUGUAUGGUGAGAUUUUUAUAUGGUCAUAUUGUAGGGUAUGUGUGUGUAUACGCGCGUAUAUAUACACCGUGUGCUAUGUAUUUUAGCUUUGUCUGGGAUGGAAAUGCAUUAUUAUACGAAACAAUAAAAGAUAUUUUGGCUUU